AGCUUUGCGCAGUGGCAGUAUCAUAGCCAAUGAGGUUUAUCUGAGGCACAAUUAUUGCUAAUUGAAAACUCAAAUGAUCUUG
ensembl:snRNA U4 U4 spliceosomal RNA